AGAGUUUGAUCCUGGCUCAGGAUGAACGCUGGCGGCGUGCUUAACACAUGCAAGUCGAACGGGAAGCGGUGUAUUUUUACUUUGGUAAUUUUGCGCCGUGGAGAGUGGCGAACGGGUGCGUAACACGUAGGUAACCUGCCCUGAAAUGGGGGAUAACCAUGGGAAACUGUGGCUAAUACCGCAUAAUCUCGCCGGGACGGGAGUACCGGUGAGGAAAGCUGAGGCGAUUUGGGAGGGGCCUGCGGUCGAUUAGCUGGUUGGUGGGGUAAAGGCCCACCAAGGCGAUGAUCGAUAGCUGUUCUGAGAGGAAGACCAGCCACACGGGAACUGAGACACGGUUCCGACUCCUACGGGGGGCAGCAGUGAGGAAUAUUGCGCAAUGGGGGAAACCCUGACGCAGCAACGCCGCGUGGAGGACGAAGGUUUUCGGAUUGUAAACUCCUUAUCUGGGGGAAGAGAGAGGACGGUACCCCAGGACGAAGACACGGCUAACUAGGUGCCAGCAGCCGCAGUAAUACCUAGGUGUCGAGCGUUAUCCGGAAUUACUGGGCGUAAAGGGUGCGCAGGCGGCGAUACAAGUCUGGCGUGAAAGCUUCUGGCUUAACUGGGAGAGGACGUUAGAAACUGUAUGGCUAGAGUGAAUGAGAGGGGGGCGGAAAUCCCGGUGUAGUGGUGGAAUACGUAGAUAUCGAGAGGAACACCAGUGGCGAAAGCGGCGCCCUGGCACUGACCUGACGUUCAUGAGCGAAAGCGUGGGGAGCGAACGGGAUUAGAUACCCCGGUAGUCCACGCUGUAAACGAUGAGUACUAGGUGUAGGCGACAACCGUGGUCUGUGCCGAAGCUAACGCGAUAAGUACUCCGCCUGGGGACUACGGCCGCAAGGCUAAAACUCAAAGGAAUUGACGGGGACCCGCACAAGCAGCGGAGCGUGUUGUUUAAUUCGAUGUAACGCGAAGAACCUUACCUGGGUUUGACAUGUGCGUAGUAGUGAAGCGAAAGCCGAACGACCCUUCGGGGAGCGUACACAGGUGUUGCAUGGCUGUCGUCAGCUCGUG
rnacentral:rRNA from 1 species